UGGAGUAUGUGGUUUAAUUCGAUGCAACGCGAGAACCUUACCUGGUCUUGACAUCCCGGAGACCCUUAGGAAACUAGGGGUGCUUCCAUCUGGAAGAAUCUGGAGACAGGUGCUGCAUGGCUGUCGUCAGCUCGUGUCGUGAGAUGUUGGGUUAAGUCCCGCAACGAGCGCAACCCUUGCCUUUAGUUGCCAGCAGUUCGGCUGGGCACUCUAAAGGGACUGCCGGUGUUAAACCGGAGGAAGGUGGGGAUGACGUCAAGUCCUCAUGGCCUUUAUGACCAGGGCUACACACGUACUACAAUGGCCGAUACAAAGGGCAGCGACACUGCGAGGUGAAGCCAAUCCCGUAAAAUCGGUCUCAGUCCGGAUUGGAGUCUGCAACUCGACUCCAUGAAGUUGGAAUCGCUAGUAAUCGUGGAUCAGCAUGCCACGGUGAAUACGUUCCCGGGCCUU
rnacentral:rRNA from 1 species